UACAGAGGUCUCAAGCGUUGUUCGGAAUCACUGGGCGUAAAGGGUGCGUAGGCUGCGUGGAAAGUCAGAUGUGAAAUACGAAGGCUCAACCUUCGAAAUGCAUCCGAUACUACCAUGCUAGAGGUCUAAAGGGGAGCUUGGAAUUUUCGGUGUAGCAGUGAAAUGCGUAGAUAUCGAAAAGAACACUUGUGGCGAAGGCGAAGCUCUGGUUAGAAUCUGACGCCGAGGCACGAAGGCUAGGGUAGCAAACGGG
rnacentral:rRNA from 1 species